rnacentral:rRNA from 1 species
AUUGAACGCUGGCGGCAGGCCUAACACAUGCAAGUCGAGCGGAAGCAGGGAGCUUGCUUCUGGUUUCAGCGGCGGACGGGCGGGUAAUGCAUAGGAAUAUGCCAGGCAGUGGUGGCUAACGUGCGGACGUAGGCACUCUUACCGCAUUAGCGCAGAGGGCGUACGGGGGGAAGCAUCGGACCUUCGGCCCUCGCACGAGUCUAGGUCGGAUUGGCUAGUUGGUGGGGUAAAGGCCUACCAAGGCGACGAUCCGUAACUGGUCUGAGAGGAUGAUCAGUCACACUGGAACUGAGACACGGUCCAGACUCCUACGGGAGGCAGCAGUGGGGAAUAUUGGACAAUGGGCGAAAGCCUGAUCCAGCCAUGCCGCGUGUGUGAAGAAGGUCUUCGGAUUGUAAAGCACUUUUAUUGGGGAGGAAGGGCAGUAGGUUAAUACCUUGCUGUUUUGACGGUACCAACAGAAUAAGCACCGGCUAACUUCGUG